rnacentral:misc_RNA from 1 species
GUUCAUACCCACAGCCGGUGAUGUAUAUGCCGCAAAAGAAAAACCCGGACCGUAUGCGUAUUUUUUUUUAUUAAUAUUUUAUAUAGAGAUAAUAUCCUUUUCUUUGAGCUCAAGACAGAAAGUGGCAGCGAGAGGGGUUUUGGUUUUUCAGAUUUCUCAAAUAUAAAUUGAAAUUUCAAGCAACCAAACAACGUGAAAAUAUCCGCCAUGGCUGCUCUACAGUAUCUGGAGUCUCUUAGCAACGCGCAUCCCGAACACGCCGAGUGGUACAAUUCACUCGCAGAUCUGUACCAGAAGAAGCUGUGGCACCAACUCACUCUCAAGCUUGAGCAGUUCGUUGCUUUCGCUGUCGUUCAGGCUGGUGAUACAUUGAUACAACUGUAUCAUAAUUUUAUCUCUGAUUUUGAGACCAAAAUUAAUCUACUCAAGCUUGCACAUUUCGCGGUUAUAGUUUCUAAGCAGUAUAAAGAGAAAAAUGCUGCCAUUAGCUAUCUUGAAGGGGUGAUUGAAAAGCUUCGAGCAACUAGAGAACAACACAUUGAGGAGCCAAUUCUUUACAUUAAGAUGCAAUUAGCUAUCUUCAAGAUUGAACAAGGGGAUCAAAAAGAGUGCAAGCAGCUUCUAGAAGAAGGAAAGAGUACAUUAGACAGCAUGACUGAUAUUGAUCCAUCUGUGUAUGCCAAUUAUUAUUGGGUUUCAUCUCAGUACCAUAAAUAUCGUCAAGAAUUUGCUGAGUUCUACAAAAGUGCUCUUCUUUAUCUGGCAUACACAUCUGUGGAAUCACUCUCAGAACCAUUUAAACUGGAUUUGGCAUUUGACCUCUCUCUUUCUGCGCUUUUGGGAGAUAACAUCUACAACUUCGGAGAACUGCUCGCUCAUCCUGUCAUAAAUAGUCUUCUGGGAACACAAGUGGAGUGGCUUUACUAUAUUCUUCAGGCAUUUAACUCUGGUGAUCUAGUUCGCUACCAAGAAUUGUGUCGUGUACAUAAUGCAUCCCUGAGAUCCCAGCCGGCUUUAGUUGAGAAUGAGCGGAAGUUGUUGGAAAAGAUUAACAUUCUUUGCCUGAUGGAAAUCAUCUUUAGCCGUCCUGCUGAAGAUAGAACUAUUCCACUAAGCGUAAUUGCUGAGCGCACAAAACUUUCCAUUGAGGAUGUAGAGCAUCUUCUCAUGAAGAGUCUUUCUGUCCAUCUUAUUGAGGGUAUAAUUGAUCAAGUUGAGGGAACAAUACAUGUGUCUUGGGUGCAGCCGAGAGUUCUGGGGAUUCCACAGAUCAAAUCGUUGCGAGAUCGAUUGGAUAAUUGGCUGGAUAAAGUACACACCGCCUUAUUAUCCAUUGAAGCUGAAACACCUGAUCUAGUAGCAUUAUGAUAUUUCUCUUUUUGACUUUUCUCGCCUCUUUUCCCUUCUGUUAGUGAUUGAUUUUCUCUCUGCCCAUUGUAACAAAUUCUUAAUCCAAAAGGGAAAAAAUUCAUAGGCAGCUAAGUGGAGAGACUAGAGUAAGUCACACUAGGGCAGUUGGGCCAACUUUGUUUGCUUCCUUGUCGUAUUGCAGAACCAAAUUUCUAAAAGGAGCAGCGGUUUACCUUUUUCACUUGGAAUUUGUCACUUCUGAGUGGCAUGCCUAGAGAUACAGUGAAUUGAUUGAAAAGGACAAAGAAAUUCUCUACUUAAGUGUGGUUAAACUAAUUUGUAUUGGGAAAUUUCCUUUGAUACAGGUACUGGUUGCUGUUCAAAUGGUUGUUUCGUGCAUCUUAUAUGUGGUAGUAACAGCAUUUCAUUUCUGAUAGCUAUUCUCAUAGUUCAAUGCAGGUUAGGUUAAUCCUUGCGUUUGAAUGAUUCAAGAUUUUUAUACAGCUGAGCAUGAUAUAAUAGAGUUUCAAAUCAGCAAGCCCAAAUGGUGUACAGGGAUGUGUUUGGAAGUGUAGUUGUUAGAGCAGCUUAGAGCUUUUUCCAAAUAUGUUCGCAAAACCUUCGUCCUGAUUCCUGAACUCAAUAUUUAUAAUCUUAUACCAAUUCUUCAAUCAAUUUUUUUUUUUU